AUAAGUUGAAAAACGUGAUGGCUUGUGUACUGUAUUAUUUAGUUGCAUUAUAUUCAGUGUUGCCGACUCUUUUCAGGGGAAAGUAGCUAAUACAUUCUCAAAAGUCACUAGAAUCACCAGAUAAUCACCAGACAUGCAAAUUCACUGAAUCUUGAAUCAUUUGAAUAUCAGAACGUUUUCCAUUAAUAGAACAGUUUCAGAAUAGAACAUAUUAGAAUACAACGUAUUUAUAUAACUUAUCGAAAGAAACAUUUGGUCAUGGCACCAUGAAGUAUUUACGUAUUUACAAAAUACAGGAUGUCCAAAAAGUCAGGAACCAGAACCAAUGGAAACUGUUGCGCAAAAUCCACACAUACAUGAUAUAGCAGCUGAGAAAAUGCAUAGAGUGUAAAGGUGAACAUGUCGAGCAUACGGUAUUUUGUAAAUAAUAAAUAAAAAAAAAUAGGUGGAUGUAGAUUUACAGUCAUUGGUUACUGAAUUUUCAGACACCCUGUACUAUGAUUCCUAUCAAGAGUGCAGACAAAAAUGUGGAGUUGUAGUAAGUAGCUGGCUCAGACAUGAAGGAAACAGUUACAGUUGACAUAACUCACUUUUAUCACUUGUAAAAAUAGGCAAGAAUAGAGUUUCAAAUGAAGAUAGAAGAAUUGCACAAGUGGGACAAACAACACUGAUUAGUGAUUUGCCAUUGUGGAACAUAAGCUUGCACAAACACUACUCAGCAUAGGUUUUACACCCUGGUGGUAAGUUUAACAAACCUUCUCUCUCAACGCAUCUAACAAGCAGCUGUGAUGUGAGGUGGAGCCGUAUAGAGUGCAAGAGAGUCUCUAACGUAGGGCUGGGCGAUAAAACCGUAUCGGUACACGGUUAUUGUUAACAAUAGAAAAAAUGUUCAGUAUAACGCUCGAUUAAAAAGUAAACAGACAUGAAAUUUGUUUGCAUGAUCAAUCCUCAAGCGUGCGCUGUCCCUGGAUCAUAAACAGCCUUUCAGAGCUGAGUUCAGAGCCUGCCGAGGAAAUUGUGAAUAAAAAGGACGUCAGCUUGCCAGUGUGGCAGUAUUUUUUUGGUUUCUUUUCGUCUGACCAACAUCAGAACAACAUUGUGUGUAAGCUUUGCAAAACAACCAUCCUGGCCAAGUACGGAAACACAAGCUGCGAGAGAUUUGUAGUGCGCAUGCGCAGUACUUCGCACAUGACAGUGCGUGUGACUCUGAACAGUGGGCAAAGAAGAUUUGAGUCAAAUGUCGGAUCUGGGGAGGACAGUGAGUGUCCUCAGAGCAGGAGCUCGACUCGUCAGAUGCGGACCUCAACACAGUGUUAUCCGGAAAAGGUUCACGGUGCAGAGUGCCAGCAUUGAUCAGCUUGGAAUUGUUGAACUACAUGGACCCCAUUCUCUCUCCUGUGGCUCUGCAGGGUCUUCCUUCGCUCAAAUUCCUGACAGUACAGUAUAGAGACUGGUCUCCGAAAUCAAAGCUGUGCCAUCUUAAGACAUGGCUGUCAACAAUGCCCCUCCUCUCAAAGCUAAAUAUUUCAUUGGGACCACCACUUGGUGUCUAUGCUAACUCAGUGCCUGCAACAGUGCAACACUUGUCCCUCAAAGGAGUGACGGCAGAGUUUAAAGCUUUGAGGGACUUAGCACAUCGAGUGCCAGAUCUCCUGCACCUGCACUUGGACCUAUGUUUCCAUAAAACACAAAGAGUCAUUGCUGAGGUUCCUUGGCUUUUCCCCAAGCUACAGAGCCUGGCAAUAAGACACUAUAAAGUUCCUGUGGAAGAGUUGCUGGGACUUGCGCAGUUGUCCCAUCUUAAACAUUUAGUGAUUCUUGAUCCUACCACAGGACCAAAUUCAGCUCUAAUGGAUCUGACUCAAAAAAUGCACAUCCAGACUAACUACAGAGUUAUUAUUCAUUUGUCAGGACCAGAACACCCAAAUGCUUGUCUUUGUGCAAAUUACUGAUAUUCAGCCCAUACUUCAUGUCUGUACACAGAACUUGACUUACAAAUUGAUGUUCAACUAUUUGAUAAAUCUAUGCCCCCCAACAUGUUCCUCUCUGCCAUGGUGGUAGACCUCCACUAGGUGCCACUGUAGUCAUACAAAAAAUGUGUCACUGGAAUACGACAUUGCAGUAUUUUCUAUUAAUUCAAGUUGUACAAGACAUUUUUAUAAUUUGCCAAUGGGAUUUUAUAAAAAGCAGUGGGGUAGUAUUCACAAGAGGAUUCAGGUUUAUAAUUUUAUUGUUAUAAUUUGUGCUAUAAUCAUUGCUUAGAAUGAAUUUCCUCGGUAUGCAUGAGCUGAAAGGAUCAGUGUAACAUUUCGGCUUGUCUGUGGCACAAGUAAUAAGACAGUAUUCCUUUAAAUAUUGAGGCUGAUAUCACAGUGGCCCCUAUGAGGAGGUGAUACUGCAGCACGAAAUUCUGAGACUAAGAGCUGGUGAUGAUGGGCUGAUAUGCUGUGAGUGAAAAUUAACAGAAUGUUCUUGACUCAAAAUGCCUCUAGACUGCAUUUAUAAUAAUGACUCCUCAUAUGUAUAGUAAUGACACCCUUCAGGCCUUUCUAUUGCUCUCCAUAAGUCCUCACUUAUUUGGUAUGUCUAACAACAUAUAACAGUAAACUGGCAGUUGAUAUUACAGUGCGUUGCAUAAAUAUUUACCCCCUUUCCCACAUUUUGUAGUGUUAUGACCUGGAACUGAAAUGGACUUAAUUGGGAUUAUAUGUUUAUUAGAGAACAUGCCUAAACAAACAGGAUCAUGAAGACCAAGCCUAGCACAAAUUGUGAAAAAGUACAUGACAUUUUGUGGAUGGCCUUCUCUUGGGUGAUUUGCAUAUGUGCCACAUUCUUUCCAGGUUCUAAUAAUGGAUUUGAUGGUGCUCUUCAGGAUGUUCAAAAUUUGGGAUUUUUUAAAAUGACCAAACUCUACCUCUCUAGAACUUUGUCCCAAACCUGUUUUGUUUAUUUAGAUACAGUCCCCUCUAUUGGAACAGCAAGGCCAUUUAAUUGUUUUUGCUGUAGACUGAAGACAUUUGGGUUUGAGAUCAAAAAUUUAAUACGAGAUGAGAGUUUAGAUUUUCAGCCUUUAUUUCCUGGUAUUUCUAUGUGAAUGUGUUAAAUGACAUAGAACAUAGCACAGACCACCCAAUUUGGAGGUGAUCCAAAAUAUUGGAACAUAUGACUGUUUUUUUGUUAUCCAGGUGUGUCCUGUUAUAUUGAUUGAUGGUUUAUUCAAUACAUAGCUCUGAACAUCUUCUCUUGUCUGGAGUACAGAACUGUGAAGUAUAUCUUGAGGAUGUUGUUAUUUACUCUGUGACUUGGGGUGAACACUUGCAAACACUUGAGGCACUGUUAAAGCGGUUUGCAAAUGCCCACCUUACCCUCAGUCUUGCUAAAUGUGAAUUUGAAAAGGCAGUAGUGACAUACCAUGGCAAAUUAGUAGGCAGGUAAAACCACUGGAUGCUAAGGUUACAGCUAUCAUGAAAUUCCCCACACCAAGUAGCAAACGAGAAUAGCACAGUUUCUUAGGGAUGGCUGGAUACUACCGUGGAUUUUGCUGAAAUUUUGCUUCAGUGAUUACUCCACUGACAGAUCUUCUUAAGGCUGAGAAAAGGUUUUGUAUGGAGUUUUGAGCAUUGAGUGUUAGAGAUGUCAUACACCUGUUUUAUCUGCUCCAAAUUUUGAAUGACCUUUAAAGCUGCAGAUGGAUGCUAGUGGAGUUGGAGCGGGUGUAGGCCUAUAAUACCGUUGAGAAGGAGGCUUUAGUCUUGCUGUGGGCACUUAAACUUUUUAGGUAAUGGUAGUAGUGCCACAAUCAUUGUCUAUACCGAUCAGAAUCCUCUAGUUUUUUUGUGACAACUGGCCAAUUCUAAUCAGAGGUUAGUCUCUUAUCCUUCAAGAAUUUGUGGUUGACACUAGGUACAAAAAGGGAGUAGACAACAUGGUGGCGAAUGCCCUCUCUAGAGCUCAUGGUGGUGAGUGAAACCUGCUCUCUUAUUAAAGAGGAUAUCUUUCUGUUUAAUUAUUAACCUUGCUCAUUUGUUAAUCAUGGUUUGAAACUAAGGGUGGUUGUGUUGCGUCCCAGGGCGUUAAUUUUUGUUAUUGUUUAUUCAUGUGGUAUGUUUAUUGUUUAAUAUAAUGUGAAAGUGUAAUAAUAUUGUCUGUGCACAUGGUCUCGCUGUUUUGGCGCUUUGUUUUCUUUCUUCUCUGUGUUGAACAUAUUGCUUGAUUACCACCAGCUGCAGAUUGUUAUGGUAAUAAUCAGUCUCAGGCAGGGAUUGAUUACCAUAAGAGAGGAAAACAGUUAAAGGCAUUGAGAAUCUUGAUUUGAACUCAUUAAAUGUGUGUAUUUAUAUAUGCAUGGUGUAAAUGCAAAUAAUGGAGUAUAAUGUAUUUUUGUAAUUGUAAAUAAGUGUCUGUAAUAAGUUUUUAAAUUUCUCAUUAAAGCUUGAUUUAAAAAUGCA